rnacentral:rRNA from 1 species
UACGAAGGGGGCUAGCGUUGCUCGGAAUUACUGGGCGUAAAGGGCGCGUAGGCGGAUAGUUUAGUCAGAGGUGAAAGCCCAGGGCUCAACCUUGGAAUUGCCUUUGAUACUGGCUAUCUUGAGUUCGGGAGAGGUGAGUGGAAUGCCGAGUGUAGAGGUGAAAUUCGUAGAUAAUUCGCAAGAACACCAGUGGCGAAGGCGGCUCACUGGCCCGGAUACUGACGCUGAGGCACGAAAGCGUGGGGAGCAAACAGG